rnacentral:rRNA from 1 species
AUGAACGCUGGCGGCGUGCCUAAUACAUGCAAGUCGAGCGAACAGACGAGGAGCUUGCUCCUCUGACGUUAGCGGCGGACGGGUGAGUAACCCGUGGAUAACCUACCUAUAAGACUGGGAUAACUUCGGGAAACCGGAGCUAAUACCGGAUAAUAUAUUGAACCGCAUGGUUCAAUAGUGAAAGACGGUUUUGCUGUCACGUAUAGAUGGAUCCGCGCCGCAUUAGCUAGUUGGUAAGGUAACGGCUUACCAAGGCAACGAUGCGUAGCCGACCUGAGAGGGUGAUCGGCCACACUGGAGCUGAGACACGGUCCAGACUCCUACGGGGGGCAGCAGUAGGGAAUCUUCCGCGAUGGGCGAAAGCCUGACGGAGCAACGCCGCGUGAGUGAUGAAGGACUUCGGAUCGUAAAACUCUGUUAUUAGGGAAGAACAAAUGUGUAAGUAACUAUGCACGUCUUGACGGUACCUAAUCAGAAAGCCACGGCUAACUACGUG